UGGUCACCACACAUGCUUUUAGAAGCUACAUCAAUCCUGAAAUAGAGAAAGAAAAUAUAAAGUUAUUGAGUUUUGUGGUGCAAAAUAGCUAAAUGCUGGAAAUAGGAAAUCUAGAAAGUUAAUGGACAAAUACAGAAAGUGAAUGAAAUAUAUGAAAAUUUUGUAAUUCAUUAUAAAAUACGGAAAGUGCAUAACGAAUACAGGAAAUGAUUAACGAAAAUACAAGAAGUAAAUGAAACAUAUAAAAAUUCUGUAAAUCACUAAGAUAUUAUUCAUUUCGAGUCACUACGCCUAAGACUUAUUUAGCAUUACUGUUGAAACUACUGUUG
rnacentral:misc_RNA from 1 species